CUUCCUUCAGUGACUACAAUAAGAAAAGUAACAAGAAUUCAUCUUCAACCAAAAUGGAAUAGAGAACGGCACUAUGUGAAAUUCAUCUAAUAAAGUUGACUUUGAUCAGGAUCUGGCUAACAAUUUUUGCAGUUGUAUGAAGGCUAAGGUGAGCAAGUAAAGAAUGUGCUUAAAGUUUUCAAGUGGUAAUAAUGGCUUGACUUUGGUUGAACUUACAUCUGGCUGUAAAAGAACACAGGAAACAAAAUGUGUCAUCAGUUUCCCACUGCUUGUUGGCAUCGUGAUUAAAUGUUGGCAUCAUGGCAUCAUCAUUUGCAGAAGCUAGAUUUUAAAUGAGCAUAGCAGGUCAAACAUUCUUCUCAGGGAAAGACAAGGUUCAUUUGGGUACAAGAAAAUUAUAUUUGUUCUAAUACAAGAAAAAAAGUCAUACAUCUUCAGUCAAAAUUACAGUGCGUUUAGAGGAGGUCAUCUGGGGAGCGGUGACUGAACAGAGCAUGAUGGAUAAUUCCUCACACACAAGCAUGAGCAUGAAAGAGUAGUGAAAAAUUGAGACUACCUACUUUGAGUUUCUGAUGAUACUGCCAACACAAUGGAAAAUCUGAGCCUUUGUCUUAUUUUAACACUCUUAUAAAAUUGAGUUCACCUGGGGAGAACUCUAAAAAGACAGAAGAAACUACUGUUGGAGAGUACUCAUGAAGAAAAAUCCCAGUAAUUUUCCCAUUUAAUAAGUUCAAAGUAUUUAUUUUCUCACCAUAUUUGCUGUUAAACUCAUCUCUCUAAACAUUCAUAAAUAUAUAAAUAUCUUUCUAAGUGCUUUUAAAAAUUCAUACUAUGAGCUAUGAUACUUUAUUCUUUAUUAAAAGAAUCAAAAUCUUAUAAUUCAGGCAGGUGCCAGGAUCAAAACAACAAUGAUAAGAUCACCUGUUGGAAAUAAGAUGAGAAGCAAGCAGGAGACAAUGUCAGUUCAGGAAUCUGUCCUUGUCUUUUUCAACAAUUAAUGUAUUUUUUUGAGACAACUUUUUUUUUUUUUUUUUUUUUUUUUGGGGGGGGGGGUGGGAGGGAGCUGUUUGUUUGCUUGCUUGUUUGUUUUCAGACAAGCUAAGUUCUUUCCAUUUAAGCUAUUUAUUUAUUUUAAGCCAGUCCCUUACUCUGUGGUAGGCUUACAGGAAACAUAGGAAAAAAGUUGAACAUUGGAAUGCACAUGACAAAAAUCUCAAACUUUAAAAAGUUACAAAAGCUUUAGUAACCAGAAAAUGC
rnacentral:lncRNA from 1 species